UGAACGCUGGCGGCGUGCCUAAUACAUGCAAGUCGAGCGAACAGACGAGGAGCUUGCUCCUCUGACGUUAGCGGCGGACGGGUGAGUAACACGUGGAUAACCUACCUAUAAGACUGGGAUAACUUCGGGAAACCGGAGCUAAUACCGGAUAAUAUAUUGAACCGCAUGGUUCAAUAGUGAAAGACGGUUUUGCUGUCACUUAUAGAUGGAUCCGCGCCGCAUUAGCUAGUUGGUAAGGUAACGGCUUACCAAGGCAACGAUGCGUAGCCGACCUGAGAGGGUGAUCGGCCACACUGGAACUGAGACACGGUCCAGACUCCUACGGGAGGCAGCAGUAGCGAAUCUUCCGCAAUGGGCGAAAGCCUGACGGAGCAACGCCGCGUGAGUGAUGAAGGUCUUCGGAUCGUAAAACUCUGUUAUUAGGGAAGAACAAAUGUGUAAGUAACUAUGCACGUCUUGACGGUACCUAAUCAGAAAGCCACGGCUAACUACGUG
rnacentral:rRNA from 1 species